rnacentral:rRNA from 1 species
UGCAACGCGAAGAACCUUACCUACUCUUGACAUCCAGAGAACUUUCCAGAGAUGGAUUGGUGCCUUCGGGAACUCUGAGACAGGUGCUGCAUGGCUGUCGUCAGCUCGUGUUGUGAAAUGUUGGGUUAAGUCCCGCAACGAGCGCAACCCUUAUCCUUUGUUGCCAGCGGUUAGGCCGGGAACUCAAAGGAGACUGCCAGUGAUAAACUGGAGGAAGGUGGGGAUGACGUCAAGUCAUCAUGGCCCUUACGAGUAGGGCUACACACGUGCUACAAUGGCGCAUACAAAGAGAAGCGACCUCGCGAGAGCAAGCGGACCUCAUAAAGUGCGUCGUAGUCCGGAUUGGAGUCUGCAACUCGACUCCAUGAAGUCGGAAUCGCUAGUAAUCGUGGAUCAGAAUGCCACGGUGAAUACGUUCCCGGGCCUUGUACACACCGCCCGUCACACCAUGGGAGUGGGUUGCAAAAGAAGUAGGUAGCUUAACCUUCGGGAGGGCGCUUACCACUUUGUGAUUCAUGACUGGGGUGAAGUCGUAACAAGGUAACCGUAGGGGAACCUGCGGUUGGAUCACCUCCUUA